rnacentral:lncRNA from 1 species
UAGGAGCUGUAUGCUUGAUAGAAUACUAGACUGAUAGCUAAUCAAUCCUAUAACGUAGCAACCAAGUAUAUUGAGUAGAGAACAAGAAUUAUUUCUCUAUAAAAACCAAUUCUCAGCCUUCUAUUCAAAAACUUUCUAUCAUUUAGAAAACUAUUUUGAUACUCUGUAAGCAUUCAUUCCAUACCCAAGUCUGAGAUUAUAAUCAAGUUCGUGGAAGAGCUGAGCUGUGGAAGGAAGAAUUGAAGAAAGAGAUUAAAUCAUAAGAGGAAAUCAAUCUUUUCGAGCAAAAAAAUUCAGAAAUUGAAAAGGAAAAUUCAAAUCAAAGGUAAUCUUCAUAUGAUGGUUAUAUUUUUGGUAAUUGGGUUGUGUUAUAUGUAUGAUUGUUAUUUGAGGUGGAAUUGU